CUUUUGUUUACAAAUACAAAAGCCCGAAAUCAAAGAUAAUCUGUAUUCGUCGUCUCGUAAUUCACAGAUCGAUCAUCUUCUUCACAAUCAAAGGAAUGGAAGAUCACAACGUCAAUCUGAAGCCAUUACAGCUAUUCGUGAGGCUUCUGAAUGGAAAAACCGCAACCCUAAAUUUCUCUACUCCAAGUGUGUAUGGCCACGAGAUCAAGAAUCGCAUCUACGAAGCCACCAAAAUACCCACCCACCUUCAGCGACUUAUCUACUCUGGCAUCCAAUUGAAGGACGGAUCCGUAAUUUCCGAUGAUAACAUCACCUUCCACCUCGUGCUUCCUCUUUUGGGAGGAAAAGGUGGGUUCGGGUCUUUACUCCGUGGCGCGGCUACAAAGGCGGGUCAAAAGAAGACAAACAACUUUGAUGCGUGUCGAGAUAUGAGUGGACGGAGGUUGAGGCACGUGAAUGCGGAGAAGAAGUUGGAAGAGUGGAAGAUGGAGGUAGAGGAGAGGAGGUUGGAGAAAAUUGCGGAGGAAUUUAUUAAGAAGGCAGCGAAAAAAGGGAAAAAAGGAGUUGGAGAUGGAGAGGCUGAGAAGUACGUGUCCACGUAUAGAGAAGAGUCGGCGAAGUGUGUGGCUAAGGUUGAGGAAUCGGUGAGGGAGGCGUUUGGCAAUGUUAAACGAAAGACUGUUGGAACAGCAGCAGCGGAGGCCAAAAGGUUGAAGAUUUGGAUGGGGAAGAGAAAAUUGGGUGAAAGUGAAGAUGAAGAUAGUGAGGAUGACAAUGGUGAAGAAAAUGAGAAAUCUAUAGUUUUAAAUAAUAGGAGUCAAUCAGAUUUAAGUGAGGGUACUGAGGGGAGUACAGGUUCAGUUACAGAUGGGAAACCAGAUGGAGAACUUUCUGGUGAAGGUUCAUCUGAGAGUGGUUCUGAAGAAGAGAAAGAGACUCUUGUGCAGCCAAACUUUGAAUCCAGUGGAUGCUCCAGUGAAGAUGCGAACCCUGAGGAGAAUGGUGUGGCUGAACCCAAGAUUAAUGAAGAAAAGGUGCAGAGUACUGGAGCCUUUAGCGUGGAGCUGAAAUUGGUUUCUGUAACUGAAGCUAUGCACAAGUCUGGUGGUGGACCUGCAGCUGGAAAUUCAGAGGAAGUAGUUGGUGAAUCUCCAAAUGUUUUGAGUUCAAGAGAUGAGGAAGUUAAUGAAAAUGGACCCAUGGAUGCUGAAGCUAGUGGUGCCUCUGAAAGUAAAUUCAGAGUUCCCGAAGGAGCAGUUGUUGCAUGUACAAAUGUUGGAGAAUUGAAAAGGCCUUUGGAUUUUAAUGAAUUCAAUUCAGCUGUGGAGAUGGAGGCUCUUGGCAUGGAAAGAUUAAAAUCUGAACUCCAAGCACGUGGGCUAAAAUGCGGGGGCACCUUGCAAGAGCGUGCUACCAGGCUUUUCUUGCUGAAAUCAACCCCAGUGGAGAAGCUUCCAAAGAAGUUGCUUGCGAAGAAGUAAUAGUUUUAUCUGUGUGUUUAAUCUUAGUCGGUACUGUUGUGGAUGAAUUAUUGCCUCAUUUCAUUGAAAUGUAAUUCAUCGCAUGGCUCAACUCACAUUAUUUUUCACCCUUUAAACACAACCACUAAAUACUCUAAUUUUCAAGGAAAUGAUUUUAUUUUAUUUUUUACAA